rfam:Ailuropoda melanoleuca mitochondrion, complete genome.
GUUAGGGUGGCAGAGCCCGGUAAUUGUGCAAAACUUAAACUCUUGUGUCCAGAGGUUCAAUUCCUCUCCCUAGCA